GUCUAUAGCCAUGCCACCUUGAACAAGCCCGAUGUCUGAUCUUGGAAGCUAAGCAGGGUCGGGGCUGGUUAGUACUUGGAUGGGAGACUGCCUCAGAAGAUCGGUGUUAUAGGCA
rnacentral:rRNA from 1 species